UACGUAGGGCGCAAGCGUUAUCCGGAAUUAUUGGGCGUAAAGAGCUCGUAGGCGGUUUGUCGCGUCUGCCGUGAAAGUCCGGGGCUCAACUCCGGAUCUGCGGUGGGUACGGGCAGACUAGAGUGAUGUAGGGGAGACUGGAAUUCCUGGUGUAGCGGUGAAAUGCGCAGAUAUCAGGAGGAACACCGAUGGCGAAGGCAGGUCUCUGGGCAUUAACUGACGCUGGAGGAGCGAAAGCAUGGGGAGCGAACAGG
rnacentral:rRNA from 1 species